ACAAGAUUAUGGAGUUGAGAUGUGAACGAUUUUGCAUUGCACAGUUUGUGCUAAAAAGCUGCAGAAAUUGUGUCUAAAUCUAAAGCCCAUCCGGGUGAAAAUUAUAAAGGAAUUGUUCUGCUCGCAGGUAAGUCCAUGACACGUGUAAUUCUAUCUUUAGUAUUCUAGGAAGUAGCAUGUUCAGGCAAUACAAAUUGUGUUUUAAACAAACAACCCCACACAUACGGACAAACUAAGGUACCUGAGUUGUUUAGAAAAGAAUUUCACCAAUUUCCUCUCUUGUAAGUCCCCCUACAACACAGCAAACACACUCAUUCCAUUCUCACUCACAACUCCACCGUAACUCCACCACCAGUUGAGGUUUUCAGUGGCGCUAAGGUUCUAUGUGAUUUAGAAGUGAUCGGGAAGAAACCAAGUGAAAAUGAGGCAAAAAAGAGCUAAAACGAAGAAAAGGAAAAACAUGCUAGAAGUGCAAAAAAUGGUCAGAUUUGUAAUUUCAAAAAUCUGAAAUUUUGAGGGUUGUUUUUGUCAUUUUUUUAGUUGGGAAAUUUGCGAAUUAUAAAAGUGAAGCUUGGGGCAAAAUAUUUUGAUCUUUGGCCAUUAUUUCAAAAGGAGGAACAAGAAACUACACCUAGGGUUCGAAGAUUUGAAGUACUCAAUGAGAAUUUCUUUACUCAUUUCUUCAACUCUUGCUUUUAUUGUAUAUCUAAGUGUGUAGCAUUUUAUUCUAUCACUUUAAUCUUGUUUAUGCAAACAUUCAUAUGUUAAAGUUUGUAUUGAAUCUCUUGUUUUGCUGAUGUAUUAAAUAAUAUUUAUUUCUAAUGAAGUGUGUUAAUGUUUCUUUAUUUA